UCUAUCUCUUUCCCCCACACCCAAAGGGAGCUUGCCCUGUGGCAGCAGAAUUUCCCUCUUUGCUUCCAAGAUGGAGCUCCCCUCGUGGAAGGGAGGUUUCUCUCUUUGCCCCCUGACAGGAAGCUUACCAGGUGGCAUUUUGGUUUCUUUGUCCUCACAAAAGGAAGCUCACCUAGUGGCAGGUAUGUUUCUUUCUCUUUCCCCCACACCCAAAGCUAGCUUUCCCAGUGGCAGCUGAAUUUCCCUCUUUGCUCCCAAGAUGGAGCUCACUUUGUGGAAGUGAGGUUUCUCUCUCUUUGCUCCUUGACAGGAAGCUCAUCAAGUGGCACCUUGGUUUAUUUGUCCUCACAAAAGGGAGCUCACCUGGUGUCAAAAAGCGGAGCUCACCUGGUGGAAGGUAGGUUUCUAUCUCUCUCUCCCACACCCAAAGGGAACUGGCCCAGUGCCAGCUCACUUUCUCUACUUUCCCACCAGAAAGAGAGCUCGUCCAGUGGCAGAUAGGUUUCUCCACCAAAAUGGAGUUAGCCUGGAUGUAGCUCAGUUUCUUUUGUGCACCCCAAAGGGAGCUCACCUAGGUCCAUGUAAGUCCCCCCCACCCACCCAAAGAGAGCUCAUUUUCUUCUCUCCCACCAAAAGGGAUAUCAUGGCUGCUUGGUUUCUCUCUCCAAUGCAAGCUCUUCUGGUGGCAAGUAAGAUUCUCUCUCCCACUUGCUUACCAAAAGGGAGCUCGUUUACUAACAGGUAAUCUUUCCAUACUCAGUAGGUUUUCUUUUUCAGGUUAGAAUAGGGAAUCACGAACAACUGCUCUGGGCAAAUGCUGGUCGCUGGUUGACGGGGCCAGGAAGGAAUUUUUUCCCUUGGAGGGCUAAUUGGCUCUUGUCCCACCGGGGUUUUUUUUGCCUUCCUCGGAGCACUUUUGUUCUAGAUUUAGGGAUUUUGUGAUGGCAAAGAAGACAUCACAGAAUUAUUUCCUUGGACUGCAGCGGCCGGAGUCCAAAGGGCUGCUGUGUUCUCCUGAAUGGAAAAGAAGGUGGAAAUUUAAAAUCAAAUUUUAUUUUAGACUUCCACCUUUUUUCCAUCCAAUAACCAAUAUUAUCAUUUAAUAAUAAUAAUAAAAGCGAAUUCCCUCUGA